rnacentral:tRNA from 1 species
GAGGGUAUAGCUCCAAUGGUAGAGUGCAUGCUCAGCAUAUAUGAGGUCCUGGGUUCAAUUCCUAGUACCUCCU